rnacentral:rRNA from 1 species
CAAUAGCGUAUAUUAAAGUUGUUGCAGUUAAAAAGCUCGUAGUUGGAUUUGUGGCGUACGGUGUGUUCCGGGCACUUGUUGUCUGAGUAACCUGCUGUUGCCAUCCUUGGGUGGAACCUGUGUGGCAUUAGGUUGUCGUGCAGGGGAUGCCCAUCAUUUACUGUGAAAAAAUUAGAAUGUUCAAAGCAGGCUUAUGCCGUUGAAUAUAUUAGCAUGGAAUAAUGAGAUAGGACUUUUUUGCUAUUUUGUUGGUUUGCGCAAAGAGGUAAUGAUUAAUAGGGACAGUUGGGGGUAUUCGUAUUCCAUUGUCAGAGGUGAAAUUCUUGGAUUUCUGGAAGACGAACUACUGCGAAAGCAUUUACCAAGGAUGUUUUCAUUAA